UACAGAGGUCUCAAGCGUUGUUCGGAUUCAUUGGGCGUAAAGGGCUCGUAGGCGGUUCUUCAAGUCAGGUGUGAAAGCCCCGGGCUCAACCUGGGAACCGCGCUUGAGACUGGAGAACUAGAGUUCGGGAGAGGAUGGUGGAAUUCCCAGUAUAGAGGUGAAAUUCGUAGAUAUUGGGAAGAACACCGAUGGCGAAGGCGGCCAUCUGGACCGACACUGACGCUGAGGCGCGAAAGCGUGGGGAGCAAACAGG
rnacentral:rRNA from 1 species